GGUGAACGCUGGCGGCGUGCCUAACACAUGCAAGUCGAGCGGUGCAGUUUGAAGCUUCGGUGGAAAGCUGCAUAGCGGCGGACGGGUGAGGAAAACGUAGGAACGUGCCCCUUGGAGUUGGAUAGCCACGGGAAACUGUGGGUAAACCGACAUAGACUCGAGAGAGUAAAGGCCGAAAGGCGCCAAGGGAGCGGCCUGCGGCCCAUCAGGUAGUUGGUAGUGUAAAGGACUACCAAGCCGACGACGGGUAGCCGGUCUGAGAGGAUGGCCGGCCACAAGGGCACUGAGAGACGGGCCCUACUCCUACGGGAGGCAGCAGUGGGGGAUUUUGGACAAUGGGCGAAAGCCUGAUCCAGCGACGCCGCGUGGAGGACGAAGCCCUUCGGGGUGUAAACUCCUUUUCUCAGGGAAAAAAGGAUGAUGGUACCUGAGGAAUAAGCCCCGGCUAACUACGUGCCAGCAGCCGCGGUGAUAUCACGUGUA
rnacentral:rRNA from 1 species